GAUGAACGCUGGCGGCGUGCUUAACACAUGCAAGUCGAGCGGAAAGGCUCCUGCUUGCAGGGGUACUCGAGUGGCGAACGGGUGAGUAACACGUGGGUGAUCUGCCCUGCACUUCGGGAUAAGCCUGGGAAACUGGGUCUAAUACCGGAUAGGACGAUGGUUUGGAUGCCAUUGUGGAAAGUUUUUCGGUGUGGGAUGAGCUCGCGGCCUAUCAGCUUGUUGGUGGGGUAAUGGCCUACCAAGGCGUCGACGGGUAGCCGGCCUGAGAGGGUGUACGGCCACAUUGGGACUGAGAUACGGCCCAGACUCCUACGGGAGGCAGCAGUGGGGAAUAUUGCACAAUGGGCGCAAGCCUGAUGCAGCGACGCCGCGUGGGGGAUGACGGCCUUCGGGUUGUAAACUCCUUUCGCUAGGGACGAAGCGCAAGUGACGGUACCUGGAGAAGAAGCACCGGCUAACUACGUG
rnacentral:rRNA from 1 species